GAACUGUUUUAUUGACCAGAUUUCCUGAAGAAAUCUAGAGAAAUAUUUUUCAUUUUUCUUGCUAUUCUUUAUUUAAUGACUAACUAUUAAGUGCCAAAGAAGUCAUAUGAUUUCCCGAUAUGGAAAGAUUUUAAAGUUUGUAUUGAUCACACUUGGAAAAUCAUAUGAAAUAAAUGAAUACACAGACAAUUAUGUCCACUGGUUAUAACAAAUAACCAGAUCCCACUAGUCCAUAGAUCUAGGAACAUGAGCUAAAAGCACAUGCACACCAGGUUUUCUCAUUUGUAUACAUUUAAGGGAUACAAGUGCAGUUUUGUUACAUGGAUAUAUUGCAGUGUGGUGACGUCAGGGCUUUUGGUACAACCAUCACUCAAAUUAUAUACAUGUAUACCCAUUAAGUCAUUUCUCAUCCUUCACCCUCCUUCUGUCCUCCCACCCUUCUAAGUCUCCAGUAUCUACUAGUCCACACUCUACGUCCACGUGUACACAUUACUUAGCUCCCACUUAUGAGAACAUGUGGUAUUUGGCUUUCUGUUUGUGAGUUUUUUUCACUUAAGAUAACGGCCUUCAGUUCCAUCCAUAUUACUGCAAAAUACAUGAUUUCAUUUUAUGACUGAAUAGUAUUCCAUUGUAUAUAUAUGUCACAUUUUCUUUAUCCAAUCUCUUGACAGACACUUAGGUUGAUGCCUUAUCUUUGCUAUUGUGAAUAGUGUUGCAAUAAACAUAUGAGCGCAGGUAUCUUUUGGAUAUGAUUUCUUUUUCUUGGGUAUAUAGCCAAUAGUAGGAUUGCCAGAUGGAUUAGUAGUUCUAUUUUUAGUUCUUUGAGAAAUAUCCAUGCUGUUUUCCAUAGAGCUUGUACCAAUCACAUUCCUAGCAACAAUGUAUAAGUGUUCCCUUUACUCAGCACUCCGCCAACAUCUUAUUUUUUAUCUUUUUAAUAAUAGCUAUUCUGACUGGUAUAAAAUGAUAUAUCAUUGUGGUUUUAAUUUGCAUUUCUCUGAUUAGUGAUGAACUUUUUUCAUUUGAUUCUUAGCCAUUUGUCUGCUUUUGAAAAAUGUCUAUUUAUGUCCUUUGCCUACUUUUUAAUGGGAUUAUGUUAUUUUUGACAUUUUAUUUGCAAUAAUGUAGAUGAAUUUUGUAAUACAUGUGUCACAUUGAAUUUAAUAUAGAUUAGUUGUCUAGACCACAAAUUGAAGCUGAGUUUAGAUCUUUAAAUAGUUAUGCCUUUGCUUUUAGAGCUUGCAUAUACAUUAGUGGUAUUUUACUUCCCAGGUAUUGAUCCUACACCUCGGGCAUGCUGCCACCAGGGGGUAGUAGUGUGCUACUAUCUUUCGGUUGUAAAGGCAACCUGAGUAUUUCUGAGUUUCAAAAUGGUGACAGCAAGCUCUUUCACAAGAUGUGACUUAUGGUCUUUCCUUUAAGUAUAUUUUUAUGUUUAAACAAACAUAAAAUGACUAAUUCUUUAGGACAUUUAAAACUUACAUUUCUAUGAUACAUUUUUCUUUUUUUAUUAGGAAAUACUGACUUAUUUCCUCUAAAAGGAAUGUAUUUUUCUAUUUUUAAAGAUUAUAAUCCUACUCCAUCACACAUGGUUGAUCAUUUUUAUUUUCCCUGUUAUCUUUUAAUAAACUUAUUUUAAAUGUAUAUGUGUGGUUGAAUCCAUUUUUACCUAACAUUUAAUUAAAAUAUUUUCCUAAGUUGCUAAACAGACUUUAUAAUAAUAGCUAUUUACAAGGUUUUCUACUGGGUAGAUAUACCAUAAUAAAAUAAUCUUAAGUAUUAUUUAUCAUAUACUGAACAUACUGUGUGCCAGGUGCUUUAAAUUUAUCAUAUCUAAAAUUCACAACCUUGCUAAGUAGGAAUUGUGAUUUUUGUUGUACAAAUGAAGAAACUGAGGAGUUAAGCAACUUUUCCAAAGUCACACAGUCAAAGCUAAACUGACACACAAAUACCGCUCUGACUACAGAGGUUCAGUAACAAGGUAUUUCUGGAAUGCAUUAUUUAAAUAUUCCACAUUUUUUGAGAAUUCAGAUUGCUUCCAAUUUUUCACUUUCAUAAAUAUCAAUAUCUUUAUGCAUUAUAUCUUUUUCUCUCCUUUUGGGUUAUCACUUUUGCAUGGGAUUACUGGGGCAAAAACAUGUUUCUGUUUCUAUGCCUCCUGGUAUGUAUUAACUCCUAACCUUUCAAACUUGCAUUAAAACUUAAAUCUGACAUUUUUCAGCUUUCCUGACUAAGGGGUGCUUCAACAUCAAAGCUCCUUAGGAUUUACUUCCUUUCUAAAGCAACGUCAAAAGGCUUUUGGUUUUAAGGAUCUAUGGGUGAAGAGAUAAUGCAGGAAGCCCGAUAUGCUGACAUGUGUGAGAGGCAUCAUUCACCACAGAAGUAGAAACAGCAUGGAUGGGUGAAAGUUGCAAGAAGGUAGGUUUAUAAACAAAUCCAACAACCAUUUAAGUGUAGGAGCAUUUCCAAAGUUGGCGUGAGCCUCUGUGGGAGGCUGAGAGCUUCCUGUCACUGGAAGUGUUUAUGCAUAGACUGAAUGAUCACUGAGAGGAGACUCUGGUGACUGACCAGUCAGGGCUGAGAACCACCUUUGGAACCCACGGUCCUCUAACUAUAAUGUGAGUCAGAGUCACAUAAGCAAAUGUCACUUUGGGUGGGGGCGGUGGGCUGGGGCAAAAAUCAUAAUCAUUACUUUUUGGAUGGGAUCUUCCUUUCAAACAAGUGUCUCAGGUGCUUCUUUUUGAGUAAUGAGAAACACAUUCAGAGAAACCUGUUCUAACUAAGUUAGUUCUUUUAAGAUAUUUGUUGCCACAGAAGAGCAAACUUUUUUUUUUUUUUAAGUUAAGGUAAAAUCUGUUCUAGCUAUGAGUUUUUCCUUGUGACUACUCCUGAGUACCUACAUGCCUCUUCUGUCACAUUCUAAUUUUCUGGAAUUCCAGAUGUGUUGCUAAGAUCAUUCCUCCUUUCCUUUGUUACCAGAUCUGUUGUUUCUUGGUUCCAACUUUGCUAUCAGCACUGGACCAAGAAUGGAAAACAACUAAUAAACCCUGAAUGUGCAACAAGGACCACAGGAACCAGCCACGGGAGAGUAGACAGUCACCAAGGUCAGGGUCACGUCAGGACAGCCCUGCACGUGUGCGGCCUGAGUGUUCCCACUCUCCGGGUUCACAGUGCAACAGACAGUGCCAGCUCACCACAGCCUUGUUUCCCCCAACUGACCAAGACUGGUCAGAAUGUGUCAGAUUUUGCAUGAAAGACGCAACGUAUUUGCUGUAAAAUUUUAGGAAUUACUAGAAAACAGGGAAGCCCCAAAAGGUAACACAAUCAAGGCAAGGCAAAGGUUGAAGAGAGUACUGAAAAAUCUUUUCAAACUGUUUAGAGAGGAUCCUGGGGGGAGAUGGUAGCAGGUUGGAGUGGCUGUGAGCCCGAGAGGCAGGAAAUAAGCCAGACUGAAACCCAUAUGCCUCUGUCAGAACUUCAAAGACUGAACCAAUGGUAAGAGCAAAGAACCUAACAGGGCCAAAGCUGUGAAGCGUAUUCACAUAAGGAUCAGAACACAGUCGGAGUCAGGAAACAGAGCCAGGAUAAAACCACUAGAAUAAAGUCACAAAACAUUAACCAGAAGAGGCAGGGAGUGGCCUGGGUACCAGAAGGAAUUCUGUUGCAGGAUGUGACGGACUAAUCAGUGUUUAAUCCUUCCUAGGCAGAGGCUCCACCACCGGUGCAUCUGUAAAGGCCUGGAGUGGGCUCAGGCAGUGAGAAACUGGAAAUGGAGCCUGGGCCCUUAGAGACCAGAGCAUCUCUCAUACAAGGGCUACACAUGUAUGAAGAAGAUGUACAUAGCUGGUCAUUUGUUACCUCACUUUGUUGAUCACAGACAAAAGCCACUUCCCUGACCUUGUCCUAAGGGAUUGUCAUUGUAAAUGUGGGUGAGCCCAGAGAACAGUGGGCUGGAUCCCUGGGUUUGGCUGCUUUCUAUGCUGCCAAGUAGUGGACACCCACCUUUCAGGCCCCCUUUUAUGUGCUGAGAUCACCUCCCUUCUUAGCUGUCUGUCAGUAUACCCCAGCUCUAGGCUGCAAGACUUCAGUGUGGGGACAGAGGUGCUCCCCACAACAAAGUCUGGGACCUCUGGUGCCCCACCUUCAUGUUUUGAAGAUGCUGUUUCACCCAGCGUUCUUUCCAGUAUUCAUCAGUAAUAGUGCAUUUAGCAUGGAGGCAUCCCCGAGUGCCCUUCACUUCCCCUUCUGCCAGGCAGAUUGUGAUGAACAGUGAAGCCUUUCACGGCUACUCACAGAAGUAGUCUUUAAAAAAGAACAAGAACUCAAAAUUGCAACUUGAACUUCCCCACUGAUACCAUAAAAUGGAACUUGGGAGCAGAAUAUAAGGAUGUUUGAGUUCCACUCUUGCUAAUUCACUGGUAAGGGGGCUUGAAAUCCUGGCCGCAUGUUUAGACAAGUCUACUCUGUUAAAUUAUUUCCCAAGUACUUUAUUCUUUUUGAUUCUGUUGCAAAUGAAAUCUUCCCCUCAAUUUCAUUUUUUGGCUCAUUUUAUUGCUAGUGUAUAGAAGCCAUUCAGUUUUGUUCGCUGAAAUUCUCAUUUGUCAUGUAAAUACAGGGCAAACCUCAGAACUCAGGUAUGAGCCCUUUUAUGUUUUCUGCAAGUGUUUCGUUUUGGGUGAAUAUCUUUGGCUCUUUUGUUCACUUGAUAGAUCCUGAGCAUCUAGAACACUGCCUGACACUCAGGUUCUCAAAAAUGUUGAAUGAAUCAGGCCACCAUCUCUCAUGCAUUUCUCCAUGAGAGCACUUAUUUUUAUGUGUUGAAAUCAUGCUCAUAUGUCUGUCCAUCAGAUGGGAAGUGCGCUGAAGCCAGGGAUCAUUCUAGUGUCCUAAGAACCCUGCACGGUACAUGUCACACACCAGGUGCUCAGCACAUGCCUGAAGACUCUAUGGCUAUGUAUCAGGGUGGGGGUGCAGCAUGAAGGGUUGAGCAUAUCACCAAAGGAAAUCUCAAUGUGUGGUGUUCCCUUUCCACAUCCACAUGUGAUUUGGGCCACUCAUAGAACUAACACCAGCAGAUUAAACAGUGUGUAUAUGUGCAUGCCUGUGUAUGAAGGAAAAAGAACAUAAAUUUGAUAUUUAUCAUGGGUCAUAUGGACUGGUUGACUGUAUGUAGAAUACACACUUGCUAUACAGUUUGGAAUGGAUAUUAAAAGCCUUUGAAUUGAAAA